AUGAACGCUGGCGGCGUGCUUAACACAUGCAAGUCAAGGGGGGCCCGCAAGGGUCAACCGGCGAACGGGUGCGUAACACGUGAGCGACCUGCCCAGUUGCGGGGGAUAGCCGGCCCAACGGCCGGGUAAUACCGCAUACGCGUCCUUGGGGGCAUUCCUGGGGACGGAAACCUACGGGGCGAUUGGAGGGGCUCGCGGCCUAUCAGCUAGUUGGUGCGGUAACGGCGCACCAAGGCGAUGACGGGUAGCUGGUCUGAGAGGAUGGCCAGCCACAUUGGGACUGAGAGACGGCCCAGACUCCUACGGGAGGCAGCAGUGGGGAAUCUUGCGCAAUGGCCGAAAGGCUGACGCAGCGACGCCGCGUGGAGGAUGACGCCCUUCGGGGUGUAAACUCCUGUUGCCCGGGACGAAUACCCGUUUCGACGGGGGUGACGGUACCGGGUGAGGAAGCACCGGCUAACUCUGUGC
rnacentral:rRNA from 1 species